GCUGGCAGAGGGUAACAGAACCGGCGCAGGCAGGGGCAGAGGGGGCAGCAGUUACCCCAUUGGCACGGGGACAUCUAUAAGUAUCGGAAUGUGCUGCGGGUAGCACAUUCCUACUAGGAGGGCAGCGGCCACAGCAGAUGUUACUGCGCAUGCUCAGUGCACGCUCAGGAGGCAUUCGGAGCGGGGGCUUUGUCUGCCUUGCCCCGGCCCUGCCCCAGCGCGGCCCCGCUCGGGGGGAAGGCUGCAGAAUAACGACCCCAUAUCGCUCCAGAUCGUCCCAUCUUCCUAGGGGCCGGGGCAGGGAAAUGGCUGUGGUGGAUCCAACUCAGAUGCCGGUGACCUUCGAGGAGGUGGCUGUGUAUUUCACCGCGGGGCAGGGGGCU